GUUUGGUUAAGUUAGAAAGGGCGCACGGUGGAUGCCUUGACACUAGGAGUCGAUGAAGGACGGGACUAACGCCGAUAUGCUUCGGGGAGCUGUAAGUAAGCUUUGAUCCGAAGAUUUCCGAAUGGGGAAACCCACUAUACGUAAUGGUAUGGUAUCCUUACCUGAAUACAUAGGGUAUGGAAGACAGACCCAGGGAACUGAAACAUCUAAGUACCUGGAGGAAGAGAAAGCAAAUGCGAUUUCCUGAGUAGCGGCGAGCGAAACGGAAUCUAGCCCAAACCAAGAGGCUUGCCUCUUGGGGUUGUAGGACAUUCUAUACGGAGUUACAAAGGAACGAGGUAGACGAAGCGACCUGGAAAGGUCCGUCGUAGAGGGUAACAACCCCGUAGUCGAAACUUCGUUCUCUCUUGAAUGUAUCCUGAGUACGGCGGAACACGUGAAAUUCCGUCGGAAUCUGGGAGGACCAUCUCCCAAGGCUAAAUACUCCCUAGUGAUCGAUAGUGAACCAGUACCGUGAGGGAAAGGUGAAAAGCACCCCGGAAGGGGAGUGAAAGAGAUCCUGAAACCGUGUGCCUACAAAUAGUCAGAGCCCGUUAAUGGGUGAUGGCGUGCCUUUUGUAGAAUGAACCGGCGAGUUACGAUCCCGUGCGAGGUUAAGUUGAAGAGACGGAGCCGCAGCGAAAGCGAGUCUGAAUAGGGCGUUUAGUACGUGGUCGUAGACCCGAAACCAGGUGAUCUACCCAUGUCCAGGGUGAAGUUCAGGUAACACUGAAUGGAGGCCCGAACCCACGCACGUUGAAAAGUGCGGGGAUGAGGUGUGGGUAGCGGAGAAAUUCCAAUCGAACCUGGAGAUAGCUGGUUCUCCCCGAAAUAGCUUUAGGGCUAGCCUUAAGUGUAAGAGUCUUGGAGGUAGAGCACUGAUUGAACUAGGGGUCCUCAUCGGAUUACCGAAUUCAGUCAAACUCCGAAUGCCAAUGACUUAUCCUUAGGAGUCAGACUGCGAGUGAUAAGAUCCGUAGUCAAGAGGGAAACAGCCCAGAUCGCCAGCUAAGGUCCCAAAGUGUGUAUUAAGUGGAAAAGGAUGUGGAGUUGCUUAGACAACUAGGAUGUUGGCUUAGAAGCAGCCACCAUUUAAAGAGUGCGUAAUAGCUCACUAGUCGAGUGACUCUGCGCCGAAAAUGUACCGGGGCUAAAUACACCACCGAAGCUGCGAAUUGAUACC
rnacentral:rRNA from 1 species